rnacentral:tRNA from 1 species
GCGGUUGUAGCGCAGCCCGGUAGCGCGUCACCCCGCCACGUGAAGAUCGCCGGUUCGAAUCCGACCAGCCGCU